AUACAACACUGCCGUAGACAGCAGGCGCCGUAAGGCAUAAGAUACUAACACCUGCCGAGGAAAAAUUCGUUAAGUAAGUAUUGACUUACCAUUGAUUUGAAUUUUGUGCCCUCUGGUCUACAGAGGGCAUUUUUCGUUUCA
rnacentral:sRNA from 1 species